rnacentral:rRNA from 1 species
GAUGAACGCUGGCGGCGUGCCUAAUACAUGCAAGUCGAGCGAACUGAUUAGAAGCUUGCUUCUAUGACGUUAGCGGCGGACGGGUGAGCAACACGUGGGCAACCUGCCUGUAAGACUGGGAUAACUUCGGGAAACCGAAGCUAAUACCGGAUAGGAUCUUCUCCUUCAUGGGAGAUGAUUGAAAGAUGGUUUCGGCUAUCACUUACAGAUGGGCCCGCGGUGCAUUAGCUAGUUGGUGAGGUAACGGCGCACCAAGGCAACGAUGCAUAGCCGGCCUGAGAGGGUGAUCGGCCACACUUGGACUGAGACACGGCCCAGACUCCUACGGGAGGCAGCAGUAGGGAAUCUUCCGCAAUGGACGAAAGUCUGACGGAGCAACGCCGCGUGAGCGAUGAAGGCCUUCGGGUCGUAAAGCUCUGUUGUCAGGGAAGAACGAGUAUCGGAGUAACUGCCGGUACCUUGACGGUACCUGACCAGAAAGCCACGGCUAACUACGUGCCAGCCGCCGCAGUAAAAC